rnacentral:tRNA from 1 species
GCACCCAUAGCUCAGCAGGAUAGAGCGUCGGUUUCCUAAACCGCAGGCCGGGGGUUCGAAUCCCUUUGGGUGCACCA